rnacentral:lncRNA from 1 species
CUCGUUCCAACAACAACCACUAUCAAAAGUGGCUGCAAACUUUGCUACCAAAUGAGCUGCUGAAUUACAACAGCGAGGAACAAAAGAAAACAGAACACAACUACACUCCUUAACUAAGCUAAUAAUGUCAUGGAAGAUACCAUCAAGAAUCAUGUCCGGGCCGGCCCGCUACCAUGUUGGAGGGCCUCAAUCAUUAUUUUAGAAUCAGAUUCAAGAAAAUCCUUUACCAGCCGUGUUGAAAACCCGCCGCCAGUCCCACCCAAAUAGCCUGAAAUGCCUAGAGGGAGUGAAUAUGCCAAUUUAAAAUUAUAAUUAAUAAAUAAAAUAAACUUCAGUAGCAGAAUUGAUAUGACUUAUUAAUCCUGAAACGCGUUGAACAUAAAAUAAAGGAACACGUAGAGAAUUAUUUUACGUGGUAAAAC